rnacentral:tRNA from 1 species
GGCUCGGUAGCUCAGUGGUAGAGCAGAGGAAUCAUAAUCCUUUGGUCGAGUGUUCAAAUCACUCCCGAGCCACCA